rnacentral:tRNA from 1 species
AAGAUUUUAAGUUAUACAAACUAUAAACCUUCAAAGUUUAAAAUAAGAUAUAUCAAUCUUAAAUCUUG